rnacentral:rRNA from 1 species
GAUGAACGCUGGCGGCGUGCCUAAUACAUGCAAGUCUAGCGAACAGACGAGGAGCUUGCUCCUUUGACGUUAGCGGCGGACGGGUGAGUAACACGUAGGUAACCUACCUAUAAGACUGGGAUAACUUCGGGAAACCGGAGCUAAUACCGGAUAAUAUUUCGAACCGCAUGGUUCGAUAGUGAAAGAUGGCUUUGCUAUCACUUAUAGAUGGACCUGCGCCGUAUUAGCUAGUUGGUAAGGUAACGGCUUACCAAGGCAACGAUACGUAGCCGACCUGAGAGGGGGAGCGGCCACACUGGACCUGAAACCCGGUCAAGACUCCUACGGGAGGCAGCAGUAGGGAAUCUUCCGCAAUGGGCGAAAGCCUGACGGAGCAACGCCGCGUGAGUGAUGAAGGUCUUCGGAUCGUAAAACUCUGUUAUUAGGGAAGAACAAACGUGUAAGUAACUGUGCACGUCUUGACGGUACCUAAUCAGAAAGCCACGGCUAACUACGUG